rnacentral:rRNA from 1 species
GGCAGACGGGUGAGUAACAUGUAGGUAUCUGCCCUUUGGCCUGGAAUAACACGAGGAAACUUGUGCUAAUACCGGAUAAGUCUUUACGGAGAAAGCUUUAUGCACCAUUGGAUGAGCCUGCACUUGAUUAGUUUGUUGGUGGGGUAAUGGCCUACCAAGACUUUGAUCAAUAGCUGAUUUGAGAGGAUGAUCAGCCACAUUGGGACUGAGACACGGCCCAAACUCCUACGGGAGGCAGCAGUGGGGAAUCUUGCACAAUGGAGGAAACUCUGAUGCAGCGAUGCCGCGUGAGUGAAGAAGGCCUUUGGGUUGUAAAGCUCUUUCGUCGGGGAAGAAAAUGACUGUACCCGAAUAAGAAGGUCCGGCUAACUUCGUGCCAGCAGCCGCGGUAAUACGAAGGGACCUAGCGUAGUUCGGAAUUACUGGGCCUAAAGAGUUCGUAGGUGGUUGAAAAAGUUGGUGGUGAAAUCCCAGAGCUUAACUCUGGAACUGCCAUCAAAACUUUUCAGCUAGAGUUCGAUAGGGGAAAGCAGAAUUUCUAGUGUAGAGGUGAAAUUCGUAGAUAUUAGAAAGAAUACCAAUUGCGAAGGCAGCUUUCUGGAUCAUUACUGACACUGAGGAACGAAAGCAUGGGUAGCGAAGAGGAUUAGAUACCCUCGUAGUCCAUGCCGUAAACGAUGUGUGUUAGACGUCGGAAAUUUAUUUUCAGUGUCGCAGCGAAAGCGAUAAACACAC